rnacentral:snRNA from 1 species
GGAUGUGAGGGCAACCAGGUCAUGACGUCUCAAACACUGUUGCUGACCAGGGUUGAUUUGGCUCCUCUGGCUGGCUAGGCAGGUCCCCCCAUCCCCCCUCACUAUUCCAUGUGCACCUCUCUGUAGCUGCUUGUUUGGUCAAAGAGGAUGGCCUUUUACAACUAGAAGCAGAUCUCUCUUCCGUUGAGGGUCUAUGAGUACCUGUGCUUGUCAACUAGAACCUCCAAGCAAGCUCUCCUGGUCUAGAAGAGAACUGCCCGCCCCCCCCACCCCACCCCAGAACCUUGAAGCUGAGGUGCCAGGGUUUGCAG